UCGCACUAAAUAUUCUCGCAUUAUUUGUUUUUCUUCGCAACCGUUCCAGAAUUAGGUCAUUACUCAAUUAUCUCCCCUGAAUGCUCUUCUUUAGUGGGUAUAAGCCGAAGACUGGUUCACUACAUAUAGUAACAGUCUUCACCGAACACAAUUUAGGGGAACAUAACCCGUCUUUAAUAUAUUGCCGAAUCUCCGAUUUCUGUCGAAUUUAUUUGCUUUGAUCUUUUCGAUAUCUUAUUGUUAUUAUUAUCCUGACAAAUCACAAACGCUUGUUAAAAUGUUAUUUGCUUUAAACACUAUAGUUGGCAUCUCUAUUCUUCAAGUAUUCUCGCGGUAUUUCAAUAACGACACCCUACUGUUUAUGUAUCAGAAUUUGUGACGCAUUUUCCAUUCGCUCUCAGAAAGAAGUUUUACGUUUGAUCAUGAGGAAUAUUCUGAAGCUGUUCUGCCAAGGCAAGAGCUGGGCAUUAUACAAGCCAUUAUAUCCAGCAAAACUGACAGUUUUGGUUUACAGAAAUCAACAGAGGAGGGAUUCCCGAACUAUCAAAAUUUCCAAGCUAUACACACAGUUAUUAUCUGUGGUGAUCUUUAUUGGUUCUGAUUGAUUACUUGGAUGGAACAUGUGUGAACUUUUAUAGAACUUUGAAAAGUCUAUAUAUGUCUAUCUAUAAACAAAAAUCAGCUAUGGUAUAAUAAAAUCAGAUGUGCAAACAAUGUCAAAGGGUUGUUAAAUUAACAAUUUGAAGGCAAUUAUGCUGAAAAAAUAUGAAAAGUUUCCAUGCAAAUUUUGUCUGUAUAUCGACAAGUGUCUGCCGAUUAUUGUCAAACUAGUAAUACAAAACUUACCACAAGUAUGUAAAAGCACUAAGUACCAGUGAUCAUUUUUAGUAAGAUAGUGUAAUUCUAAACAGUAGCAAAUAGCUUGUUUAGUAAAUGCAUAAUGCAAUUAAUAUGAUUUCCGUUCUAUUGUGUAAUUAAUAAAUUGGUUGUUACUUGCUAAUCCAUGAUAAAUGUUUUAUGGCUAGUGCAAAACCAGCAAUGUUAAUUUUGUAAAAGGUAAUACAAUAACACCACUUUGUAAUUUCAUAUACGUAAAUAUUCUUGAAAUGUAGGUUGAUGAGUUUUACUUAUUUUGUAACUAUUAUUUUAUGUGCAAAUAAAUGAUGUGAAGUGUUUUGUAUAUCCACUCAA